GCAUCGCUGAGACAUCCAGGGACUUACUGGAGGCUCCAACAUGAUCGGAUCUUGGAGCUACCCACAAGCCGACGGAACCUUAGCUGAGGUCACCUUCGUGGCCGACGAGAACGGAUUCCAGCCCCAGUCCUCGUUGUUGCCAGUGGCUCCCGCCUUCCCCCACCCCAUCCCACAGUUCGUCCUCGACCAGAUCGAGUUCGCCAGGCUCGAGAAGGAGAGACAGCAACGAGAGGGAAACAGGGCUUAGACGAACGAACGAAAAAAGAGAAAAUGUUUCAUGGCCACUUUUAGUUUUUUUAGUAUUGUUGUUUUCUUUUGAACCUCAAUGGAUUAUUAUUGUUUAACUCGACAUGUGAAUAAAUUAUUGAUGACUUUA